CUGGUAUUAAAAGCAUCUCUGAAGUAGUUACUUGAUAAAUCUUGCUUCAAUUUCAGAGUUAAGCUGAUUGCUGGAUAGUGAAUUGGGAAGGGAUCAGAUUACAGGAUUUCUAACUGCAGUAACAUGAGGUGUGGUAUGUUUGCUAGUGUCAUUUGGAUAUUUUUGCCUAUCAAUUUCCCUACAAUUUAGGAUGCCACUGCUCUCUCCUCUCUUUUGCGACAUGCUAUUUUGUGGCUUUUGAGUUUUGUACAAGAGCUCUUGAAGCUUGUUAGAGGGUGUGGGUGAGAGUUGUUUUGUGGCUGGUGGAGAGUGGAGCAGAUGCUCUGUGGACCCUUCUUUGUAGGGCUCGGUCUGGGCUGUUGUGUGUCUUCACAGUGUAUCCAAAUUACCCCCUCAUCUUUCUUUCCUGUUGUUUUCCAAAUGUUGCAGUUCUGAAGAAAAUCUUCAAAAUAAGAACAGGUUCCUUGGCUGAACAUAAAGCUGUGUUGUUAAGGAACAUUUCAGCAGGAUAUUUUGCCUUUCCAUGCUGUGUCCAGAAGCACCCUCUGCUUGAGUGAGGUGCCCAGGCCAGCGAUGAAGGUUUCUCUCUGGGCAAAAUCUCUUAUUUCACAAGUGCCUACAAGGUUUGCAAGAAUCUGCCGCUGCCCAAAAGAAUGAAGCCCUGUUUAGUGACUGGAGGAAGGAGCUCACAAGGACUCUUGUCUGAUGUCUUCGUUAAUUUUUGCUUUACUAGAGAGAGGCACUUUAUAAUCUACCUCGGGCCAGGAGGUCUAAUUAUGGAAGAUGCUGAAGUGGGAUCCGGGAAGGCUGCGUUCAGAGUCCUGCUGUUUGCGGCUGUUGACCGUUCCGAGGCAAUGGAAUUGGUUUUUACUUCGCUCUGAAUUUUAUGGUUAGACGUUCCCCGUCAGCGACCCACACCGGUGAGGGGACAGGGGCCACAAGAGCUGGAAGGGCAGCCGGGGAGAGAGAGAGUGCUGCUGCUUUCUUUUCUCCUUGCUCGGUGCCUACGAGCAAAAGCAACGCUGCAGCGACACAACACGAGAGCAGCUCUAAGGAAACGCUCCUGCGAACAAGCGUAAAUGCCUCAAAAAACGUGCUGCUGCCGGAGAGCCGAGAGGCCCUGGGUGAGGCUCAGAAAGGAGCAGAUAAAGUCUAGCUUUGGAGAAUGUGCAGAGGCAAGAUUUCAUUUUGCGAACUGGAAAAGACUGAAGCUCAAUUACAGAUGGCAGGCAACCCACUCAGAAGUAGCAGUGAAAACCUGGAUCCCAGUGAUUUCCAAUGCAUGGUUUUAGACCCUUGAAAUACUGGAGGCGACUCUUCAGCAAGAGGACCAAAUCCCUGCCCUAAAUACAGCGAUAGUCUUUGGGGUGUCUCGACCACGCUCUCAUAGUCGCUUUGCCUUCAUAAAGGAUGCGUGUUUGUCAGGCUCGAAAGACUCCGCGCCUCCAGAAGCAUCAUCCAGUGACGCCAGGCAAUGGGAAAGAAUGGAAAAACCAGAGAUGGGAUGAAGGCUGAGUUCCCACUCAACUCUGGGAAAUGGUCCCGCAGCCUCUGGACAGGGAGGAGGAAUCACCUCUGUUCCUUUGCGUCAGAUCGAGUAACUGCAGAACUGCUCAGACUGCUUUCAUUUCAGAACCUCUGUGUUUCAGCUGAGUUUCUCUAAUAGAGAUGCCACCGUGCUUUUUCACCAGAACUGUGUGAAACCCCCGGGUGUGUCGGAACAGAAGGAGCCCUGUCUCGGAGGCACACAGUGCAACAGGGAAGUGCUGAGUGAGGCGGGAGCCGCUCAGAUCUAGUGACACCUCUGUGCCUUGACUUGACCGGAGUGGCCUCAGGAGGCAAGAGUUCGCUUGCGGUUUGGAAAGGAAAUUGGAGAAGUCCCGUUCCUGCUCCACUUCUCAAAGCUGAAAUUGUCCAUCCUGCAGAGGAGGAGCUCCCUGAUGUUUGUCCGAGAUGCUGUAUAAACACUGCGAACAACUGCAGAAGCCUGAUAGGAACGUGCAAGCGGCUACAUGAUAGUGAGACCUUUCUGCCCAGUCUCCGAACGUAUGCAAUCACGGCAGCCGACAUCCAUCCACCCUCCUGCUGGCUGGGCGCACGGAGAGCCUGUGUCACGGGACGUGGUGGCACCAGGCAGCCCUGCAGGAACCACGGGCGUGAGUGUCUCCAGAGAAGAUGGCUCACUGGUGGGCAUGGCUUUUUGGCUGACAGGACUUCUUGGUCCCCCUGGCACCCUGGUUAUUCCCAAGAAGCUGCUGGUUGCUGUGAUGGAGAAAGCAGAAAUGGGGUGGCAAAAAAACCCCAAGGGUUUGGAAAAGGAGUCACCUAAAUUCAUCCCCCUAUUACAGCAAAUCAUGUUGGCCAUGGUGUAAACCAAGCUCACGUCUGGGUGAGGCACUACCCAUGUGUGGCUGCACCCUGCUCACGUCCGCGCGUGCAGGAUGUGUCCCUGUUCCUCCUCGGAGGGAGGUGGGAGGAGGGCUCAGCCGUGCUGAUCCGGUGCGUACCUGGACAGCUGGUGCAUCUCACGGUGCUUCAUUUUAAAGCUAUCCAUCAUGCUCGGGGGACUGCGUCCAGGCCCUGAAUUGCAGAACUGGCACCUUGGGAAGUGUUCAGCUGUGAAAAGUGACUUGGUAGGACAGCUUCGCCGUGUGGAAAUAAAAAUGCUUCGGCGCUCUUGUUUUUGAAAGGCAGGGUAAAUGGAAGAGGCCGAGUCGCCUCGCAGCGUGUUCAGCAGAUCUGCGCGUCUCCUGCGCUGAGGCGAGUCCGACCGAGGCAGAGACGUCGUUCCAGUGGGGCUGGGCAGACCAUCGCAGCUGCAAACGGGUCUGUCUGGAGAGGUGUCCUUUAGCACCACGUUGGGCUUCAGCCUCCCACCAGCGUGAAUCAGGGAGAAGAAACACAGACUCCUAGGCCUGAGCUGCAGGCUUUGGGGCUGAGGUUUUGGCUAUGGUGGGGUACCACGGUGCCCUCAGAUGGGAAGUUUCGGCUGGUCUGUUACUGGACACAGUGGGUCUAAUUCCUAAAAUUGCCUGAACACGGUGAUUUGGGAUCUGCACUGCCCGUUGAGCUGAGGGCAUCUUUUUGAGGUACCUGCUGACUUCAACGUGAUGAUUUGGAAGUGAAAUGAAGUUGGAUCAAGGACUAGUUGGUGAAUUUUUCCCUGGUUUUAUUCCCCAUACUUCAUUUUGCAUCAAUUUACAAAUUUGCAGGAGGAAUGGCUUGCAUAGAUACAACACAAGGCUUAAUUAGUGUGCAAAGUGCUUUGAGAUCCUUGACAAAAGGUGAAAUAGAUGCAGAGAGUUAUCUCUUCUCCUCCUCAGAGGCUGUAUGUCAGUAAUGGAUGAAGUGACCCCUAAAAUAUAAUAUUAAUUCUGCAAAGCACUUGGGGGUUCUUCUGAAUCAAAGGUGCUAUGCAAAUAUAUUCUCACUUUCCCUUACCAGUCCCUUUGAGCCAUCCAGUCCACCAUUAGUGGCGAUUCUCAUUUAAUCAGAAUUCAGCCUUCAAAUUUUCUGCAAGUCCAUAGAUAAAUAAAGCAGCAGCCUUAGUUGAUCAUUUAUUUAUAAAUCUAUUUAUAAUCUAUGUUUUGCAUAUUAAUCAAAACCACUCCAUGUGGCAAUUCCUGAUUAAGAACCAUUUUUAUGUCUAGUCUCUCUUGCCCCUAGAUAAUAUGUAAAGAAUUAGAUUAGAAAUAGUUUUUAUAAAUAAAUUAUGAUAAACUCCUGCUUUAUUUAUAUAGCCAGACAAAGGUGCUGCUCUUUCAAGCACUGCGUUUCUUCUUCCUUCUCCUCAUACUUCUAUCUCCCUGCCACGUGGUAAACUACAUUGGUCAUGGCACUCAGAGUGGUCCUUUAACUGGGGAGUCCUUGCUUUUGGGUGGAAAAAUGCCACUUGCCACCUAGGUGAGAUGGCCCAAGGCCUAACCCAAGGAUGUCAGAAGGAGCUGAGGAGUUUAAGCUACCUUUUCUUGCACACAAAAAAUAAAUGAAGUAAAGUUGAUAAAUUCAGGAAGCACCUUGCAAGGUUUUAGGCUGCACAGUGUGACCUUAUCUGCAGUUGGGAGAGAGAAGGAAAAGUGUUCGAAAUCAGAUGGAGAAAAAUCAGGAACUGUCUGAAUCUGCAACUGUACUACAGGACUAAAUGCAAACUAUCAGGCCCUGAGUAGGUGGUUGUUGUGUCCUUACUAAAUGACACCUCAAUGUUGUGUAAGUAAUUGGCUCAGCAAAAUAGUUAUCAUCUCUAAAUGUCUUCCUAGAGGCUCUGCCUAGGUCUGUUAAAGUAUAUGCAUUUGAGAAAUAGGGCAUUAGCACGCGUUCUUGUGGAAUAUAAUUGCAUGCUGAUAAUAUUGCAUGUGUAGCAUAUUUGAAUUGGCCUUGGUGGGACUACUCAAAUGUUUAAAUAGUUUUAAUUUAAUCUAGGGUUUUUUUUAAUCAAAGUUUUUAAUCUAGGGUUUUGGUUCUGUGCAUGUUACCUGUCAUGUAAGUGUUUUAGAUCGUCACAGAAUGCAAACGCGGUGCUGCAACAAGUUGGCAAGUUUUAAGAGAAAUUGUCAGCUAGCGUUAGGUCCUGGAGUCGUGUGUAUGGGUGAUUCAAAUUAAGCUUCUAGCCUAAAGGGCUGAACGGAAAAGUUUUACAACAAAACCUAAGUACGUUUUGAGGACAGGAAGAAAAAGAAACAAAGGAAAAAAAUCCCCAGAUUUCCUAGGUCAGGAUGAAAAAGAUAAGGAAUUAGAGUAUAACUAGGGCUGGGAGAUGUGGCUUCACUUCCUGUUCCUGCCACACUCUUGCGGUGCGACACUGAGCAAGACAAUUUUCUUUGUCUCUAUAAAGUGAGAAUAAUAACAAUUUCCUAUGUAAUGGGAGCGUAAGACAUUUAAAUAUUGCAGUGAAAAACCAUAGUUACUGAAGAGAGAAUUCUGGAUACAAGCAGAUGAUUCUGAAGAUUUUUACCAUGCACCUGAGACCUUACGGCAUGCCCAGUCAGCAGAGCUCUCACGCUGCAGGGUCAAUGUUUCCUAGAGUUUACAAAUAGUUCGUUUAACUGCAGCUUGCCUAAAGAAAACAACUGGAUGAUUUCUAUGUACAUGCUUGCGGACACUGACUUGUAAAUACAUAGUUUUGAGGUGCACGUUGUAUGUUUUAUUUCUAUUUUGUCACACUGUUUUUGAACGUCAAAGACUUUGUGUAGUUACCCCUUCGGGAAGUGGAAGCAAUGCUGUGAUAGCUCGUCAGAAUUUAGCAGGUUUCCAAGGCAGAGGAGCAAAUACUUGCCGAGAGCCAUUCUUCCAUCAGCCUCGAAUUCAUUUCUGCAAAAUACUGUGAUAGAAUAAUUCCGGGCAGUAAGUUUAGACUAAGAAAUUUUGUUGUGAAUUCUUUGUUCAGCCUUAGUUCAGCCAAUGCUGAACUUUUAAUGUAGACAAGGGUUGUUUCAGAAGAGUGGUGAGAUAUUGCAGCCUGGGCCUUCGACUCAUUAGCGCUCUGCUCCCCCGGCUCGCGGCCCUCAGCCGUGUGCAGCAGCGCGGCGUUAGCCCUGCGGUACACGAUACUGUGCAGGGCACAGCGGAUGGGCCCAGGAACGCGUGCCCUGCUGUGUUUUAUCUUGCUUAAUGAAUCUCGCUCUCUUCAGUAACUUUAUUGCCCUCUGUGUGUUCUGGGGUCCUUAAUUACUUUCUGCUUGGCAGCCAGGAUCCUUUUAUUAUUUUUAUAUUUAUAUUUUUAAAUAUUACCAGAUUCCCAAACCAUCGCUAUCCGCAGGCAGAAUGUCAUAAUAAUUGAACCACAAAGAAGGCAUAUGAAAAUGAAGACAAAAGGAUGAACUUAGUCAACCCUUCUUUCACCUCCAUAAAGAAAGAAGUUUAGAACUGGAGGCUCCACUAUAUUUUCCUGUUACCUUUAGAAGAUGGGCAUGAGACAUCUCCACAUCUGCUGAAUGUGUGCACAGGGCCUGUGGGCACAGACAAAAGGCCAAAGCUGGAGUCUAAAUCAAGACUUGGUGCGAGAUUAAACUGCUCAGUUGUAGUUACGGCCUUUGGCAAUAAGAUUUCUGUUGAAUUAUCCUCUCUUAGUGACGAUAUUUGCCCUCUGCUUUGAUUGCUAGGUUGCUUCUUAGUUUACCUGUGAUGACAAUGUUCUCUUCCCUGCUUUUGUGGCACGGUUGUUUAUUUUCACCACCUAAAGCAAACAUCCAAACUCAAAGCAAUUGCACCACUGAACUUCCAAACCAGCCAAAGCAGGUUUCCUCACGAGGCUCAGGACAUUCCUUCGUUCUUUGCACGUGUCUGCAGGAACUUCUAGUUUGUUGGGAACAUCGUACCAAAGUAGAAACAGUCCUGGGUUUCUACAUGCAAAAUGUUAACACAAAUAAAAUUACCGCGCUUAACCAGGAGGCUCUUAUGUAUGUGCACAUUGUAUUUAUUCACUGUAUCGGUACAAUAGAAGUGUUUAUGCUUUAGCUUCAUGACUGCACCUCUGGGCCUUCUGUCCUUCCGGAAAACUUGGUCUUCCUCAGUAAUCCUUGGGUAGUGAUCCCAAUGGCCACCUGUGUGUUGGACUCUCCUAUGCUCUGCCUGUGCUGUUAUAAAUGACUUCAUGAACUCAGUUUUCUUCUUAUAUGUUCUGAUUCCUUUCAUGUUUGCUGCCAAAUAUUGAGUUGAUGGCUGUGAUUCCAAUGUCAUCAGUUUGUGCUUUAUUUUCCUUUUCCUUUUUUGUUAUUAACAAGGAGUCUUGGUAUGUGGUGGGCUUUUUCUUCCUAAAUCUUCACUUCUAUUUGCAUGAGAAACUUAGCUUCCUGUGCUGUGCUACUGCAACGGAGGAGGCAGCGAGCAGCUCCCACGGGGACCGGCAAUCGCACCGCCUGCAUGUCCUUGUCUCAGAGUGAAGCAGCAAGUGCUCAUGUGAACAUCCUUCUGUUGGAGAGUAGAAACGCUGAACAGAACUGUUGUCUUCUAAGGAAAUCCUAUAAGAGCUCUGCAGACCACAAUGCUGGUGAACCUCCCCACGGCCAGGACCUGCACCACGUGCUGUGCCUUGCCUGGAGGUCUGUCCAAUGUCUGUCCUCUUUUUCCUUCUUGUGUUAGCGCCAAUAAAUGGUAAUUUAAGCAAUGCC